rnacentral:rRNA from 1 species
UACGUAGGGGGCAAGCGUUGUCCGGAAUCAUUGGGCGUAAAGAGCGUGUAGGCGGCUUGGCAAGUCUGGUGUGAAAUCUUGCGGCUCGACCGCAAGCGGUCACUGGAAACUGCCUCGCUAGAGUCCGGAAGAGGAGAGCGGAAUUCCUGGUGUAGCGGUGGAAUGCGCAGAUAUCUGGAGGAGCACCGGUGGCGAAGGCGGCAUCCUGGACCAAUUCUGACGCUGAGGAGCGAAAGCCAGGGGGAGCAAAACGGGG